UGCUAGAGCUGCAUAGCCAAAGACGUGUACUCAGCCCAUUCAUCUGCCUUCUGCUGCAUGAGCCCCCACAGAUGCGGAAGGUGCAGGGAAUGAUUCAGCUCCAGCUUUUAAUGUACACCACCAAGAAAGAACCCUGAGGUGAACUGUGGACUUUGGAUGAUGAUGACGUGCCAAUGUAGGCUCAUUCUUGGUAAAAACAUACCCUUCCGAGUGACACCAAAUAACAAAUGAAAAGCACCAUAAGAAGUCAAGAGUGAGACCAUGGUAGAAAGAAGAAAUUCUCUAUGUACCCUUUUUAAAGAACACUUUCUUCUUGUUCUUUGAACAAUGAGCUCUGAAUUUUCAUUUUGUGCUGGCCCUGCCGUAGCUCUUGUUUGU